rnacentral:rRNA from 1 species
GACGAACGCUGGCGGCGUGCCUAAUACAUGCAAGUCGAACGAGCGGCGGACGGGUGAGUAAUGUCUGGGAAACUGCCUGAUGGAGGGGGAUAACUCCUGGAAACGGUAGCUAAUACCGCAUGCCAUCAGAUGUGCCCAGAUGGGAUUAGCUAGUAGGUGGGGUAACGGCUCACCUCGGCGACGAUCCCUCGCUGGUCUGCGAGGAUGACCCGCCACACUGGAACGGAGACACGGUCCAGACUCCGACGGGAGGCAGCAGUGGGGAAUAUGGCAAAAUGGGCGCAAGCCUGAUGCAGCCAUGCCGCGUGUGUGAAUAAGGCCUUCGGGUUGGAAAGCAGUUUCAGCGGUGAGGCGUUCCCCGCAGAAGAAGCACCGGCUAAUUCCGUGCCAGCCGCCGCGGUAAUUC